UUGGUGCAAAAAUCAUCAGUUUCUUGUCC
rnacentral:piRNA from 1 species